CAGUAGCCGCGGUAAUACAGAGGGUGCGAGCGUUAAUCGGAUUUACUGGGCGUAAAGCGUGCGUAGGCGGCUUCUUAAGUCGGAUGUGAAAUCCCUGAGCUUAACUUAGGAAUUGCAUUCGAUACUGGGAAGCUAGAGUAUGGGAGAGGAUGGUAGAAUUCCAGGUGUAGCGGUGAAAUGCGUAGAGAUCUGGAGGAAUACCGAUGGCGAAGGCAGCCAUCUGGCCUAAUACUGACGCUGAGGUACGAAAGCAUGGGGAGCAAACAGGAUUAGAUACCCCCGUAGCCCUGUCUCUUAUACA
rnacentral:rRNA from 1 species